rnacentral:rRNA from 1 species
UACGGGGGGGGUAAGCGUUGUUCGGAAUUACUGGGCGUAAAGGGCUCGUAGGCGGCCAACUAAGUCGGACGUGAAAUCCCCAGGCUCAACCUGGGAACUGCGUCCGAUACUGGAUGGCUUGAAUCCGGGAGAGGGAUGCAGAAUUCCAGGUGUAGCGGUGAAAUGCGUAGAUAUCUGGAGGAAUACCGGUGGCGAAGGCGGCAUCCUGGACCGGCAUUGACGCUGAUGAGCGAAAGCUAGGGGAGCAAACGGG